rnacentral:rRNA from 1 species
UACAGAGGUCCCAAGCGUUGUUCGGAUUCAUUGGGCGUAAAGGGUGCGUAGGCGGCGCGGUAAGUCGGGUGUGAAAUCUCGGUGCUUAACUCCGAAACUGCAUUCGAUACUGCCGUGCUUGAGGACUGGAGAGGAGACUGGAAUUUACGGUGUAGCGGUGAGAUGCGUAGAUAUCGUAAGGAAGACCAGUGGCGAAGGCGGUCUCUGGACAGUUCCUGACGCUGAGGCACGAAGGCCAGGGGAGCAAACGGG